rnacentral:lncRNA from 1 species
ACAGUGCCUGGCACAGAAUAGGCUCUCAAAAACUAUUAGUUCAGUGAAUGAAUGUGUAUGCAUCAGAAAAAGACCACUGUGAUGCAAUGUACAGAAUGAAUGGGGUAGGGUGGGGCAAUAGCAGAGGCUGGGAGGGAGACCUUUGCAAUCUUCCAGAGCAGGGAUGAUGUCAUCACAUAUGGGCCAAGGUGGUAGAACUGGAGAGGAGUGAGUGGUCUGGAGAGAAAUUUCGGUUUCAUCUGCAGGGUAGGGGCUGUAAAAGAAAGGAGGAGGUGAAGAAUGAUAGAGAUGCCCAAGUUUUUGGCUUAGACAUCUUGGUGGACAGUGGUGCCAAUUAUUGAGAUGGUGAAAGGGGAACAGGCUGAGGAGUUCCCUGGAGACCAAUGCUCAUGGAAGAGGGGCAGGAGGCAGGAAUGGGCAGAGGGAGAAGAUGAGCACAGGCCCGGCAGUGGCCUUGGCCGGCUGGAUGAGGAACUCCAGUGCUGGACACGCCUCUUCUAGAGCUGUCAUGAGGACUGUGACGCUCAGAGAGGCUAAGCAACUCACCCAAAGUCACACAGCUGGAAAGUGCCAAACAUAUGCAGAAUUUCAAUCCAGAGUCCAGGCUCGUCCUACACCAUGUAUGUAGCCUUCAGAUGCCAAGGGAAGAAAUGAAGUAAGUUCUCACUCAACAGUGACAUUUUACUGAUAAUGCAGCAGGAAGAACAUCAUUUUGGAAGGUUCUGUGUCUAUGCCAGAUGUGGUUCUGACAAAUCCCACUUUUCCUCUGGGCCUCAAUAAGGAGAUAGAUUGAGGCGUGGAUGGAUCAAAGCCAUAUUAUACAUCUGUUCUGAGCUUCCAUCUGAAUCUGAAAAAAUGUUAAAUAAUAAUAAUAAUAGCAAAUAUUCCUGGAAUAUUUACUCUGGGCCAGGUAUAUUAUAUGUGUUGUUUUAUUUAAUCUUCAUACCUCCCCUGUGAAGUAUUAUCCGUAAACAGAUGAGGGAAUGAAGCUCAGAAAGGCUGGGCAAUCUGCCUAAAGCCACACAGCUAACAACGAGGUGAGGCUGGAAUUAGAAAUGUGGCUUGCUCUGUCUUAACCACUUCUCUUUUCUGCCUUCUGAGGGUUCAGUGCUGGAACACCUAAAUGUUUUGAGAAGGAGGAGCUUCAGGUGUCUUCUGUCAGAGCUGGAGGGGGGCCAGGGGCGGAGCCUAUGUGAUCUGCUGGAAGCACUCAGUUUUCUGUUAUUUGGGUGAGAGUAGUGGCUUCCUUAUUUUCAGGCUCAGGACACUGGCCUCCCUUUACACCACCCUAUUCCAUGCCAUCUGUUAUUGACACCCCACUUACCUUAAGGUGCUGAGAGC